AAGCACAGGGCUGGGAAGAAAUUGGCUCUGCCUUUAAAAUUUCUGGAGAGGGGGCCGAAAAGUAUUUCAAGUCCUUACGUGAAAAAUACGUCAGAAUAAAAAAGGACCAAGAGAAAUAUGAAAGAAGUGGAGCUGGUGCCCACUUUCAAAGCAAGUGGCACCUGUUCGACAUGCUCAAAUUUUUGGAUGAGGUUAUAAAACCGAGAAAGACGAUCAGCAAUUUGUCCAUUGGUUCACAAAAUUCUGAAUUGGAGCAGUGCAGCCCGCUAAUAGU